CGUAAAGAGGAGGAAGGAAUGGGCAACGGUAGUCGGCAUGCCCCGAAUUAUCUGGGCUACACGCGGGCUACAAUGGGUGGGAACAAUGGGUAUCGACACCGAAAGGUGAAGGCAAUCUCCUAAACCCAUCCGUAGUUCGGAUUGUGGGCUGCAACUCGCCCACAUGAAGCUGGAAUCUGUAGUAAUCGUGUCUCAAAAUGGCACGGUGAAUAUGUCCCUGCUCCUU
rnacentral:rRNA from 1 species